rnacentral:rRNA from 1 species
GACGAACGCUGGCGGCGUGCCUAAUACAUGCAAGUAGAACGCUGAAGGGAGAGCUUGCUCUUCUGGAUGAGUUGCGAACGGGUGAGUAACGCGUAGGUAACCUGCCUGGUAGCGGGGGAUAACUAUUGGAAACGAUAGCUAAUACCGCAUAACAUUGACUAUUGCAUGAUAGUCAAUUAAAAGGUGCAAAUGCACCACUACCAGAUGGACCUGCGUUGUAUUAGCUAGUUGGUGGGGUAACGGCUCACCAAGGCGACGAUACAUAGCCGACCUGAGAGGGUGAUCGGCCACACUGGGACUGAGACACGGCCCAGACUCCUACGGGAGGCAGCAGUAGGGAAUCUUCGGCAAUGGACGGAAGUCUGACCGAGCAACGCCGCGUGAGUGAAGAAGGUUUUCGGAUCGUAAAGCUCUGUUGUAAGAGAAGAACG